rnacentral:rRNA from 1 species
UACAGAGGGUGCGAGCGUUAAUCGGAAUUACUGGGCGUAAAGGGCGCGUAGGCGGCCUGCUAAGUCGGAUGUGAAAUCCCUCGGCUCAACCGAGGAACUGCAUCCGAUACUGGCAGGCUCGAAUCCGGGAGAGGGAUGUGGAAUUCCAGGUGUAGCGGUGAAAUGCGUAGAUAUCUGGAGGAACACCGGUGGCGAAGGCGGCAUCCUGGACCGGUAUUGACGCUGAGGCGCGAAAGCCAGGGGAGCAAACGGG